UCUCACGGAUGAGCAAAGAAUGUGGUUUCUCGAGAGGGAGUCUACUUCUAGUGAAGAUCCUGUGAA
rnacentral:pre_miRNA from 1 species